rnacentral:rRNA from 1 species
AAGUCGUAACAAGGUAUCUUCUCCGGAAGCCUGUGUUCUCAGCGACUCUAAACAAUCGAGCAAGUGGCGUCAGCCGCUACAUAAUCGAAUUGCGGGGAAGCCCUAAAGCUUCAGCUACUCCCCAGCGGCCGAAAAGCUGCUGGCAUAGUCAUAAUGCUGGAGAUGGAACAAUGGGUGAUCCGCAGCCGAGCCCCUACCGCACUUUGCUACGGGGAAGGUUCACAGACUAAGUGAUUAUGGGUCGAGUUGCUCGACUUAAGAUAUAGUCGGUCGUCCAGCGAAAGCUAGACGCUAAGACGUUCCGUAGGUGAACCUGCGGAAGGAUCAUUACAGAGUUCAUGCCCUCACGGGUAGAUCUCCCACCCUUGAAUACUAUACCUUAGUUGCUUUGGCAGGCCGUGGAAACACCAUGGGCUCCGGCUUAUGCGUGCCUGCCAGAGGAAACAAACUCUGUUUUUAGUGAUGUCUGAGUACUAUAUAAUAGUUAAAACUUUCAACAACGGAUCUCUUGGUUCUGGCAUCGAUGAAGAACGCAGCGAAAUGCGAUAAGUAAUGUGAAUUGCAGAAUUCAGUGAAUCAUCGAAUCUUUGAACGCACAUUGCGCCCCGUGGUAUUCCGCGGGGCAUGCCUGUUCGAGCGUCAUUUCAACCCAUCACGCCCCCGGCGUGGACUUGGGGCCUGCGUCUUCGCAGCCCUUAAACCCAGUGGCGGUGCUAUUGAGCUCUGAGCGUAGUAAUUCUUCUCGCUAUAGGGUCUCGGUAGUUGCUUGCCAACAACCCCCAAUUUUUAUCAGGUUGACCUCGGAUCAGGUAGGGAUACCCGCUGAACUUAA